rnacentral:rRNA from 1 species
UGGGGAAUAUUGGACAAUGGACGCAAGUCUGAUCCAGCCACGCCGCGUGAGUGAUGAAGGCCUUCGGGUCGUAAAGCUCUGUGGGGAGGGACGAACCGCCGAUGGUUAAUACCCAUCGGCAUGACGGUACCUCCUUAGCAAGCACCGGCUAACUUCGUGCCAGCAGCCGCGGUAAUACGAAGGGUGCAAACGUUGCUCGGAAUUAUUGGGCGUAAAGCGCACGUAGGCGGCUCCAAAAGUCGGAUGUGAAAUCCCUCGGCUCAACCAAGGAAGUGCACCCGAAACUGCGGAGCUUGAAUAUGGAAGAGGGUCGCGGAAUUCCCGGUGUAGAGGUGAAAUUCGUAGAUAUCGGGAGGAACACCAGUGGCGAAGGCGGCGACCUGGGCCAAUAUUGACGCUGAGGUGCGAAAGCGUGGGGAGCAAACAGG